rnacentral:rRNA from 1 species
UACGGAGGGGGCGAGCGUUAUUCGGAAUUAUUGGGCGUAAAGGGCGCGUAGGCGGCCCGGCAAGUCAAAGGUGAAAUCCCUCGGCUCAACUGAGGAACUGCCUUUGAAACUGUCGGGCUUGAGGCCGGGAGAGGGUAGUGGAAUUCCCAGUGUAGCGGUGAAAUGCGUAGAUAUCGGGAAGAACACCCGUGGCGAAGGCGGCUCUCUGGGACGGUACUGACGCUGAGACGCGAAAGCGUGGGGGAGCGAACAGG